AAAUAAGCGGUUACUGAGAUUCACAUGGAAUGGACAUGCUUAGAAACGUAAUAGUCUCGUUAACGGUAUCUGGAUAAUGCUAACUUGAAAUAUUUAAUAGAUUUAUUCUCUUUCCAAUCUUUUUGAACAACCCCCUUUGAAAACUUAUAUUUAUUUCAAUGCCUACCGAAUGCGACACAUUUUUGUCGCUGAAAACUUUACCUCAACUUGGCUCUGUUGUAUAAAGAGCCGUAUCUAUUCAGUCUGCAAAUGCAGCAAGUGCAGAAGCAGAAACCCAGCCAUAUAGCAACAUCUGCCACUACUGACACUGCUGUCCAACGUAUUGAAACAAUUGUCGAUGCAUGUAAAUUAACAACUUUACUGAAACCUAAUUUAGCAGAAUAAAGCAAUCGUAUAUUUAACGUACAUAUUCCCAAAAAUGAAGCGCAUCACAAAUAUAUAGUAAGCUCAGCCAUAUAAUAUUUUGUUUAUCAACUCUCCAAAACUGCAGCCCCAUAAAAUCUCAAACUAAUUACUACGCUUAAAAAUCUCUGCUAAAUGUGAACCCUUUUCUAAAGUCCUUUGAAAAACAUUAUUUUUAUUUUGGAGCAGCUGUAGCGUUAAUAAAGUGUUGGACAAAGGAAAAAAGUUUGCUUCCUGGCUAGACAUAAUUUUAGGGCUCUUUGCACUUGUGUGGAUGUGGAUGCAAACCCACACCGCCUGCUAAAAAGAGCGGAAGAAAGUCCACUGGCCGCUGGUGGCAGCCCUGGAAAACAUUGUCCAGCACUAACCAAAUGUAAUUUGUCCAGAAAGAAACGGAAAAUGCGACAAAGGGCGAAAACUUGUUGGUCUGUUCGCCCACCAUCAACAUUCUGUUACUGGAGGUCAUUUUUGUGCAUAGUUCAUUACGAUUGAACUGCCACAAAGGUCUGUAGUUCCCCAAACAUGUAAGAGGGGAAAAUAGCUCAAAGAGAAAAGGAUGGGUAUAGGGGCCAGAGAAAGAGACAGCACGUGACAAUGCGACUUGGCAAUGGGAAAACUUUUCAAUUUAGCACACUUUUAUUUGUCCUUUUAAUAUUAUUUUAAUUGGGGUGUCUAACGCCCUCUUAGAUUAUUUCCACCAAAAUUAAAUUUGUGAUAGUAUAUUCACUAAAUGUUUAUUUUAUUAUACUC
rnacentral:sRNA from 1 species